rnacentral:rRNA from 1 species
AGAUUGAACGCUGGCGGCAUGCCUUACACAUGCAAGUCGAACGGUAACGCGGGGCAACCUGGCGACGAGUGGCGAACGGGUGAGUAAUGCAUCGGAACGUGCCCAGUAGUGGGGGAUAGCCCGGCGAAAGCCGGAUUAAUACCGCAUACGACCUAUGGGUGAAAGCGGGGGACUCGCAAGAGCCUCGCGCUAUUGGAGCGGCCGAUGUCAGAUUAGCUAGUUGGUGGGUAAAAGCCUACCGAAGGCGACGAUCUGUAGCUGGGUCUGAGAGGACGACCAGCCACACUGGGACUGAGACACGGCCCAGACUCCGUACGGGAGGCAGCAGGUGGGGAAUUUUGGACUAAUGGGACGCGAAGCCUGACUCCGACGCCAGUCGCCGUCGUGGACGGGAAGAACGGUCCGUUCGGGUUU